rfam:Homo sapiens chromosome 4, GRCh38 reference primary assembly.
UAUUAGCUUGGUGCAAAAGUAAUUGUGGGUUUUGCCAUUGAAAGAAAUGGCAAAACUCACAAUUACUUUUGCACCAAGCUAAUA